AUUGAACGCUGGCGGCAGGCUUAACACAUGCAAGUCGAGCGAGCGGCGGACUGGUGAGUAAUGUCUGGGAAACUGCCUGAUGGAGGGGGCUAACUACUGGAAACGGUCGCUAAUAACGCAUACCAUCAGAUGUGCCCAGAUGGGAUUAGCUAGUAGGUGGGGUAAUGGCUCACCUAGGCGACGAUCCCUCGCUGGUCUGAGAGGAUGACCAGCCACACGGCAACUGAGACACGGUCCAGACUCCUACGGGAGGCAGCGGGGGGUAAUAUUGCACAAGGGGCGCGAGCCUGAUGCAGCCAUGCCGCGUGUGUGAAGAAGGCCGUCGGGUUGUAAAGCACUGUCAGCGAGGAGGCGUUACCCGCAGAAGAAGCACCGGCUAACUCCGUGCCAGCAGCCGCGGUAAUAC
rnacentral:rRNA from 1 species